rnacentral:rRNA from 1 species
UACGGAAGGCAGCAGGGGGGAAUAUUGCACAAUGGGCGCAAGCCUGAUGCAGCCAUGCCGCGUGUAUGAAGAAGGCCUUCGGGUUGUAAAGUACUUUCAGUCGUGAGGAAGGUGUUAAGGUUAAUAACCUUAGCAAUUGACGUUAGCGACAGAAGAAGCACCGGCUAACUCCGUGCCAGCAGCCGCGGUAAUACGGAGGGUGCGAGCGUUAAUCGGAAUUACUGGGCGUAAAGGGCACGCAGGCGGUUAAUUAAGUUGGAUGUGAAAUCCCCGGGCUUAACCUGGGAAUGGCAUUCAAGACUGGUUAGCUAGAGUCUUGUAGAGGGGGUAGAAUUCCAUGUGUAGCGGUGAAAUGCGUAGAGAUGUGGAGGAAUACCGGUGGCGAAGGCGGCCCCUGGACAAAGACUGACGCUCAUGUGCGAAAGCGUGGGGA